rnacentral:rRNA from 1 species
UGGGGAAUAUUGCACAAUGGGCGCAAGCCUGAUGCAGCCAUGCCACGUGUGUGAAGAAGGCCUUCGGGUUGUAAAGCACUUUCAGCGAGGAGGAAGGUGGUGAGCUUAAUACGCUCAUCAAUUGACGUUACUCGCAGAAGAAGCACCGGCUAACUCCGUGCCAGCAGCCGCGGUAAUACGGAGGGUGCAAGCGUUAAUCGGAAUUACUGGGCGUAAAGCGCACGCAGGCGGUUUGUUAAGUCAGAUGUGAAAUCCCCGGGCUCAACCUGGGAACUGCAUUUGAAACUGGCAAGCUAGAGUCUCGUAGAGGGGGGCUAGAAUUCCAGGUGUAGCGGUGAAAUGCGUAGAGAUCUGGAGGAAUACCGGUGGCGAAGGCGGCCCCCUGGACGAAGACUGACGCUCAGGUGCGAAAGCGUGGGGCAGCAAACAGGAUUAGAUACCCUGGUAGUCCAGCGCUGUAAACGAUGUCGAUUUGGAGGUUGUGCCCUUGAGGCGUGGCUUCCGGAGCUAACGCGUUAAAUCGACCGCC